UACAGAGGUCUCAAGCGUUGUUCGGAAUCACUGGGCGUAAAGGGUGCGUAGGCUGCGGAGUAAGUCGGAUGUGAAAUUUGGGGGCUCAACCUCCAACUUGCAUCUGAUACUGCUUCGCUAGAGAUCUGGAGAGGGACUUGGAAUUCUCGGUGUAGCAGUGAAAUGCGUAGAUUUCGAGAAGAACGCUCGCAGCGAAAGCGAAGUCCUGGACAGCAUCUGACGCUGAGGCACGAAGGCUAGGGGAGCAAACGGG
rnacentral:rRNA from 1 species